UACGAAGGGGGCUAGCGUUGCUCGGAAUCACUGGGCGUAAAGGGUGCGUAGGCGGGUUUUAAGUCAGGGGUGAAAUCCUGGAGCUCAACUCCAGAACUGCCUUUGAUACUGAAGAUCUUGAGUCCGGGAGAGGUGAGUGGAACUGCGAGUGUAGAGGUGAAAUUCGUAGAUAUUCGCAAGAACACCAGUGGCGAAGGCGGCUCACUGGCCCGGUACUGACGCUGAGGAGCGAAAGCGUGGGGAGCAAACAGG
rnacentral:rRNA from 1 species